rnacentral:rRNA from 1 species
CCUACGGGUGGCAGCAGUGGGGAAUAUUGCACAAUGGGGGAAACCCUGAUGCAGCGAUGCCGCGUGGAGGAAGGAGGUUUUCGGAUUGUAAACUCCUUUUAUCAGGGACGAUAAUGACGGUACCUGAAGAAAAAGCUCCGGCUAACUACGGUCCCGCAGCCGGAGUAAUACGUAGGGAGCGAGCGUUGUCCGGAAUUACUGGCUGUAAAGGGUGCGUAGGCGGGACGGCAAGUCAGAUGUGAAAACUGAGGGCUCAACCUUCAGACUGCAUUUGAAACUGCGGUUCUUGAGUGAAGUAGAGGUAGGCGGAAUUCCUAGUGUAGCGGUGAAAUGUGUAGAUAGUAGGAGGAACAUCGGUGGCGAAGGCGGCUUACUGGGCUUUUACUGACGCUGAGGCUCGAAAGCGUGGGGAGCAAACAGGAUUAGAUACCCGAGUAGUC